CUCCAGGGGCGGGAUACAGUACAUGCAGUCGAACGAACUUCCGUUAAUUGAUGCAUGACGUGCUUGCACUGAAUGAGAUUUUAACACGAAGUGAGUGGCGGACGGGUGAGUAACACGUGGGUAACCUGCCCAGAAGCAGGGGAUAACACCUGGAAACAGAUGCUAAUACCGUAUAACAGAGAAAACCGCCUGGUUUUCUUUUAAAAGAUGGCUCUGCUAUCACUUCUGGAUGGACCCGCGGCGCAUUAGCUAGUUGGUGAGGUAACGGCUCACCAAGGCGAUGAUGCGUAGCCGACCUGAGAGGGUAAUCGGCCACAUUGGGACUGAGACACGGCCCAGACUCCUACGGGAGGCAGCAGUAGGGAAUCUUCCACAAUGGACGCAAGUCUGAUGGAGCAACGCCGCGUGAGUGAAGAAGGGUUUCGGCUCGUAAAGCUCUGUUGUUAAAGAAGAACGUGGGUGAGAGUAACUGUUCACCCAGUGACGGUAUUUAACCAGAAAGCCACGGCUAACUACGUGCCAGCAGCCGCGGUAAUACGUAGGUGGCAAGCGUUAUCCGGAUUUAUUGGGCGUAAAGCGAGCGCAGGCGGUCUUUUAAGUCUAAUGUGAAAGCCUUCGGCUCAACCGAAGAAGUGCAUUGGAAACUGGGAGACUUGAGUGCAGAAGAGGACAGUGGAACUCCAUGUGUAGCGGUGAAAUGCGUAGAUAUAUGGAAGAACACCAGUGGCGAAGGCGGCUGUCUGGUCUGUAACUGACGCUGAGGCUCGAAAGCAUGGGUAGCGAACAGGAUUAGAUACCCUGGUAGUCCAUGCCGUAAACGAUGAUUACUAAGUGUUGGAGGGUUUCCGCCCUUCAGUGCUGCAGCUAACGCAUUAAGUAAUCCGCCUGGGGAGUACGACCGCAAGGUUGAAACUCAAAAGAAUUGACGGGGGCCCGCACAAGCGGUGGAGCAUGUGGGUUUAAUUCGAAGCUACGCGAGACCUUACCAGGUCUUGACAUCUCUGCACUAGAGAUAGCGUUCCCUUCGGGACAGAUGACAGUGUGCAUGUGUCGUCAGCUCGUGUCGUGAGAUGUGGUAGUCCGCACGAGCGCACCUAUACUAGUGCAGCAUCAGUGGCACUCUAGUGAGACUGCGUGACAACCCGGAGCAGGUGGGACGACGUUCGAUCAUCAUGCUAUGACCUGGCUCACACUGCUCAAUGGAUGGUACCACACGAAUUCGCCGGAACUCGCCC
rnacentral:rRNA from 1 species